CUGCCUUGGUGGAUCUUGUCCAGUUUCCAGUUUCAAUGCAGGCAUCACAAGAGGCACGAUGGUUUUACCUCUCCUAUCAGCUUAGCAGCCCCCGAGCCCCCAACUGCCCACUCACAGAAAGUCAUUGAGACACUGAAGCCCUUUGGGGUUUUUGAAGAAGAAGGGGAACUGCAGCGCAGGAUUUUCAUUUUGGGAAAAUUAAAUAACCUGGUGAAAGAAUCGAUUGGAGAAAUCAGCGAGCACAACUGGAAAUGCUGGAGGAACAAUGCUUACAUUUGGAUCUUACAGACAAAGAGUACACACGAAAGGUACUGGCGUUGGCGCGGUGUACGUUGCACCACGACAAGCUGAUCAAAAUGACUUUUUUCCACCUCAUUCUCUGAUACGUUGAAAUUACAAGAAGUGAAAGAUUUAAGAGCUGUUGAAGAAGCAUUUGUACCAGUUACCAAACUCUGUUUUGAUGGAAUCGAGAUUGAUAUCUCGUUUGCAAGAUUAGCACUUAUUCCAGAAGAUUUGGACCUACAAGAUGACAGUCUGCUUAAAAACCUAGAUGUAAGAUGCAUAAGAGGCCGUGAUGGUUGCAGGGUAGCCGAUGAGGUUUUACAUCUAGUACCAAAUAUUAACAACUUCAGGGUAACUCUGAAAGCCAUCAAACUGUGGGCCAAAUGGCACAUCUAUUCUACUAUAUUAGGUUUCCUCCGUGGUGUUUCCUGGGCUAUGCUAGUAGCAAAAACUUGCCAGCGUUAUCCAAAUGCAAUAGUGUCAACUCUUGUGCAUACAUUUUUCUUGGUAUUUUUAAAAUGGGAAUGGCCAAAUUCAGUGCUAUUGAAACAGCCUGAAGAAUGCAAUCUUAAUAUUGCCUGUGUGGGAGCCAAGGGUAAACCUCAGCAAUAGGUACCAUAUGCCUAUAAUCACACCAGCGUACCCACAGCAGAACUCCACGUACAAUGAAUCUGUUUCAACACGGAUGGCCUUGGUUGGAGGAGUUUAAACAAAGUCUUGCUAUCACAGAUGAAAUUUUGCUGAGUAAGGCAGAAUGGUCCAGACUUUUUGAAGCUCCAAACUUCUUUCAAAAGUACAAGCCUUAUGCUGCACCCACGGAAAAGCAGUGUCUGGAAUGGGUGGGCCUGGUGGAACCCAAACUCUGCAACCUGGUUGCAAGCUUGGAGAAGAAGGAGUUUAUGACACUAGCUGGCUCCAGUCAUUUCCAGCCCCCAAAGAAAGUCCUGACAGGGAAGAAUUUCGCACAAUGUGGGUGACUGGGUUAGUGUUUAAAAAACCUGAAAACUCUGAAGAUCUCAGUGUUGGCCUCGCCUAUAAUAUCCAGUCUUUCACAGACAAUUUAUAGGCAAGCAAUAAACAACAAGAUGUUUGAGUUGGAUAUGAAGAUUGCAGCGACGCAUGUGAAGAGAAAGCAACUCUGCCAGCUGCCGCCUAGUCACGUGCUUCAGAAGAGGCAGACACAUUCAACAGAAGGAGUCACGUUAGCAGCUCUGAGUGACAGCAGCCUUGACUUGUCUAUGGACAGUGAUAACAGCAUGGCUGUGCCUUCACCCACUCAUGCUAUGAAGACCAUUGAACAGUUCUGGCGGCUCUCAGGGCAGAAACAGUCCUGCUCCAGCUGUGACCGCAGCAUCUGUGACCAGCAUCCAGGCUUCUGACGUUUCUGUACCACAAGCAAAUCCCAGGGAAAGCCCAGGGAGCCCAGGGAGCGACAGCAUUCCUUAAACUGACACACAGCCAGCCAUUUCUCCACCACCAAAGCCUACAAUCUCCAGAGUUGCCUCAACACAACUAGACCUUCAGGAAACACAGCAACAAACGUCCCUAAUCCUAUAGUAGG
rnacentral:lncRNA from 1 species